CAAAGCUUUGGUGGUAACAAUACAGGGAAAAGCUCAGCCUUAAAAGGCAGAAUAAGGUCAGGACAUAGGAAAGAAACACACCGUAAGGCAGCGUGGUGUAGAGUCUACACUGUCGGCUAAACUGUUCUUCAAGAGCAGGGCGAAUAACUCCUUGAAAAUUUGCUCUUCAAAACUGCAGUGGCUGCCAAGGCCAGACACAAGGAGCUGUCAGAGACCUGUGAGGGAAUCGGCUCUUCGCUCCCAGCCCAGGGGUUCGCACACUUGGCCGCACGCGAGAAUCACCCGGAGAUCUUCUAGAAUUCCUGAUGCCAAGCUUCCGGAUAUGGUUUUGAACUUAGAAGCCGAUGACUCCAGGAGAGGCCAGAUCUUCCUGAAGCAGCACCUAGCAAGGAUGGCAAAGCCUGGGAGCCCAUCUGUUCCUGCUGUGGUCUGAGGGUGUCACUUGUGCUGAGCCUCAGCCCAGAGGGAAGGACUUACUCCAGGGCAACCGCCAGGAUUGGCGCGUUGGGCCACGUUUUGACUUGCAUCGCCGAGGGACGCGGUCCAGCCAGUGACGGCUGUUCCCUGGUCUAUUCUGCUGAGGACAUCUGCUCGCGGACACGCGGAGCAAAGCGGGGUCCAGCCCCGCCGGCCCGUGGCGCCCUGGAGGAACUCUAUCCAUCUACCCAACUCUACCGAGCUACCAAAAUAUCCAUCCCCCAAGCUGUUCUUUUUUUAGGGGUGGAUGAGUCAUCUGCUACUGAGAAAACAAGAUAUAUAUAUAAAAAAAAAUCUCAA